GAUGAACGCUAGCUACAGGCUUAACACAUGCAAGUCGAGGGGAAACGAUAGAGAAAGCUUGCUUUUUCUAGGCGUCGACCGGCGCACGGGUGAGUAACGCGUAUCCAACCUGCCCAUCACUUGGGGAUAACCUUGCGAAAGUAAGACUAAUACCCAAUGACGUCCAUAGAAGACAUCUGAAAUGGAUUAAAGAUUUAUCGGUGAUGGAUGGGGAUGCGUCUGAUUAGCUUGUUGGCGGGGUAACGGCCCACCAAGGCGACGAUCAGUAGGGGUACUGAGAGGAAGGUCCCCCACAUUGGAGCUGAGACACGGUCCAAACUCCUACGGGAGGCAGCAGUGAGGAAUAUUGGUAAAUGGACGAGAGUCUGAGCCAGCCAAGUAGCGUGCAGGAUGACGGCCCUAUGGGUUGUAAACUGCUUUUAUAAGGGAAUAAAGUGGGAGUCGUGACUCCUUUUGCAUGUACCUUAUGAAUAAGGACCGGCUAAUUCCGUGCCAGCCGCCGCGGUAA
rnacentral:rRNA from 1 species